AUUGAACGCUGGCGGCAGGCCUAACACAUGCAAGUCGAGCGGAUGAAGGGAGCUUGCUCCUGGAUUCAGCGGCGGACGGGUGAGUAAUGCCUAGGAAUCUGCCUGGUAGUGGGGGAUAACGUCCGGAAACGGGCGCUAAUACCGCAUACGUCCUGAUGGAGAAAGUGGGGGAUCUUCGGACCUCACGCUAUCAUAUGAGCCUAGGUCGGAUUAGCUAGUUGGUGGGGUAAAGGCCUACCAAGGCGACGAUCCGUAACUGGUCUGAGAGGAUGAUCAGUCACACUGGAACUGAGACACGGAACAGACUACUACGGGAGGCAGCAGGGGGGAAUAGUGGAAAAUGGGCGAAAGCCUGAUCCAGCAAUGCCGCGUGUGUGAAGAAGGUCUUCGGAUUGUAAAGCACUUUAAGUUGGGAGGAAGGGCAGUAAGUUAAUACCUUGCUGUUUUGACGUUACCAACAGAAUAAGCACCGGCUAACUUCGUG
rnacentral:rRNA from 1 species